rnacentral:lncRNA from 1 species
CACGUCAGGGUGGCUUCUGCCUUGAUUACUUUCUCAUCCUGUUGUCACUCCUGGGACCCUCUUGGUGAGAGAACCAUCUGGGUAUGCCCAUCUUCUUCCCAGGAUAACUUCUAUGUAGCUUUAUAUUCUAGCCCUAGGAUUUCCUCUUCCCUCUAAGAGCAAGAAACAUGUGUGCAGAAUUUCAUACAAUUAUCUGUUUACAUGUGUCUUCCUUACCAAUUCUUCAGCAAAUUGAGGCCUGAGAUCAUGUCUUGUCUUAUUUGUGUCUGAUUCCAGGGCACAGUGCAGGGGGUCAUCAUGAAGGAGUCAUUCAUUCAGGCUACUAAACUGACCAAUAGGAUUGUAACAUGCUUGCUUUCUUUUCACAGUCUCCAAUAAGUGGUUCCAUGAACGAGGACAGGAGUUCUUGAGACCUUGUGGAUCAACAGAAGUUGACUGACAUCCUUUUCUGUCCUUCCCCUUC